ensembl:processed_transcript Gm14066 predicted gene 14066
GGGAGGGAGGGGGACACGGUGUCUGUCGGUCCGGAAGGGUCUUGACACUAGCUGCGGGGCUCUGGGCUGGCUGAUCACUGGGUGCAGCAGACCGUGCGCCUACAGCGCCCUGGAGCGUCGGAAAGGCGGACAGGAAUUGAGCACAUCUUGUGGAAUUGGGAGAGGAAAGACUGAAGGAGCCAGAGAGGUUGAGGACACCACAAGAGAACCUACAGAAUCAACAAACUGGGCCCAUAGGGGCCCACAGGGACUGAACCAUCAUGGGAGCUUGCAUGGGACCUAGGCCGUCUGCACAAGACUCUGAUAACAGCUGAUAUGAGGUCUCCAACACAUAUACAGCAGAGGACUGCAGAGUCUGGACUCAGUCAAUGAAAAUACACCUAACACUCAAGAGACUGGAGGCCUCAGGGAGUAGGAAGUUCCAGGUUUCUGGUAGCUAGUGCCAGUAACAGGAGCAGCACCAUUGCUUUGCCGUAUCGAAAGCUGGCUGUGUGCUGACAGCACUGUGUGGUUCCGGACGAGCUCUGCCUGUUUUCCUGCCUGGUGACUCAGUGAGCCGGUUUCUCUGUAACGGGAACAUAUGCCCCAUGCAUGCUGUGUUAGCAGAUUAUUAAUAACCACACAGAAUUACUGAAGCAGGCAUGAGCAACUCAUCUCUCUGUAAGCGUAUCUCCUUCAAAUCCCGAUCCUUUCCUAAUGUGCUCAUGGACUCUUCUUGUCAAAAUCACUUUUCAGAUAGAAACGAUGCAUAUCUCUAAUGUUCUAGUACAUUGUCUCUGAACCUCGCUUUCUUUGUCUUCAUCAAGAGUUUGUCAAGCAGCGUGGCAUUACUUGAUCUCAGGAGUAUUUUUCCUCAACAAUUUAAAUGUGGAGAAUCCUAACCAGUCUGUCUUUACAACAGAGGAUUUCAACCUGUGUGGUGUGAAGCCACAGGGGUCAAACGAUCAUUUCACAGGGGUAGCUUGUAAGAUAUCCUGCACAUCUGUUGUUUACAUUAUGAUUCAUAACAGUAGGAAAGUUACAGUUAUGAAGUAUCAAUGAAAUAAUUUAUGGAUGGGGGUCACCACAAGUUGAGGAAUAAAGGGUCAAAGCAUUAGGAACGGUGAGAACUUCUCUGCAGUCUUGAAGAUGAAGAAGGAAGUUUGUUAUUUCUAUUUCAAGAGGAAAAUGCUACUUUAUAUAUUUUUUUAUUACUUUAUAGCCUCAGGACAAAGGUAACAGAGCUGACACCAGCAGCUGGAAAGAAUAAAUAAGUCAAUCAAAUCAACAAAUAUCUAGAAAAUUGCUAGAUUCCUGCUGAAAUCAUGUUUUAUUAGUAUUGAGAAGGAAUGAUGGCUUGAACUUAGUCUUUAGAAUAGAAAGUGACAUUUACAGUACUUGGCAGAGUGGGGUCCUCCUUUUAAGCCAUUGUGAUAACUAAAUAAGCAACCAUGUGCAGGAACAAAGAUGGCAUUGUGUCAAGACAGACUUGUUCUUGUGUCUCAGCAGGCUUCUGGAAGCUUCUCCUGCUGGUUGAGAGACAUGAAGCACAUAUUCACUUUGGGAGCAAGAACCUGUUCAGCAUCUAGAUGGCGCCACCCUACAAGUCCCCUUCUAUUUACUAUGUACUCGUGCCAACAACACGCCUUGACCUCAAAUUCCACAGAAUAUAAUUUUUUCUUUUCAAACUUUAUAUACAUAGAAUUACAUAAUCAUGUACUGCAUCUGUUUUUCUCUUUUUCAAUAUUUGUAUGAAACUCAUUUGUUACAUAUGCUAGCAUUUAAUUCCCUCUCAUUGCAUCUCAUUUCAAGUCUGUGAAGGUACUACAAUUAUGUAUAAUCUAUUCUGUCACUGAUGGACAUUUGCAUGAUUUCCAGUUUAUAGAAAUUACCAAGAAUGUUCCAAUAAGAAAACUUUUAUGC